rnacentral:rRNA from 1 species
GACGACGCUGGCGGCGUGGAUUAGGCAUGCAAGUCGAACGGUAGGAUCCUUUCGGGGAUCUGAGAGUGGCGAACGGGUGAGUAACACGUAGGUGAUCUACCCUCAAGACGGGGACGAACCCAGGGGAAACUUGGGCUAAUACCGGAUGUGAGCUAUCGCGAGAUAGUUUGAAAGGUGGCUUCGGCUGCCGCUUGAGGAUGAGCCUGCGUCCUAUUAGCUAGUUGGUGAGGUAACGGCUCACCGAGGCAGUGAUAGGUAGGCGGCCUUAACGGGUGGUCGCCCACACUGGGAUUGAGAUACGGCCCAGACUCCUACGGGAGGCAGCAGUCGAGAAUAGUCUACAAUGGUCGAAAGACUGAUAGUGCGACGCCGCGUGAACGAAGAAGCCCUUCGGGGUGUAAAGUUCUUUUAUAUGUGAGCAGUGACACCCAUAUUAAUAGUAUGGGUGUAGAGAUAUUAGCAUAUGAAUAAGUAACGGCUAACUCCGUG